UACAGGGGGGGCAAGCGUUGUUCGGAAUUACUGGGCGUAAAGGGUUUGUAGGUGGCCACUUAAGUCAGACGUGAAAUCCCUCAGCUUAACUGGGGAACUGCGUCUGAUACUGCGUGGCUUGAGUGCAGGAGAGGAACGCGGAAUUCCAGGUGUAGCGGUGAAAUGCGUAGAUAUCAGGAGGAACACCGGUGGCGAAGGCGGCUCUCUGGACCGAGACUGACGCUGAGGCGCGAAAGCGUGGGGAGCAAACAGG
rnacentral:rRNA from 1 species